rnacentral:ncRNA from 1 species
ACUGCCGCCGGACGGUGCGGGUCGUGAGGAGGAACAGGAUUCCCCACAGACGGGCCCGACCGAGAAUCGCCAGGGUUUACAGGGAGCCCUGACGGAUUCGCUCCGGCGAAGGAG